rnacentral:lncRNA from 1 species
GUGUUUUUUUGCUUCUUUUUUUUUAUGAAAAUUUAGGGCUCUUUUACUUGAAAUGAGGGUAAUUUUUUGGGGGUCAAAUUUUUUUUUUUUUUGGGGGGGGCGCUGGAGUCGUUCAAGUACUAUACUACUCCCCUUAGGGGAAAAAAUAAGUUUUAUAAAAAACCCCAGGAUUAAGGUUUUGGUGUGCUCUUUACAAAAAAAUUUUUUUAUUUUUUUAUGGGGGGUAUAAAUACAAAGUGUGUUUUUUUUCUUCUUAAUUUUGAAGUUAAAAAUCACACAAAAAUGUUGGUAAAAUUUUUAUUUUGGAUGUAAAAAGGGUUUUUUUUUCUUUAAAAUGGGGGGUCAAAAAUUGAAGAUAAUUUUUUUUUUUUGUGGGGGGCUAAAGGAGUGGUAUAUUGUGUGGU